rnacentral:rRNA from 1 species
GACGAACGCUGGCGGCGUGCCUAACACAUGCAAGUCGAACGAAGUGGCGAACGGGUGAGUAACGCGUAAUCAACCUGCCCUCCUGAGGGGCACAACAGUUGGAAACGACUGCUAAUACCGCAUACUCAAGGUGGGGAUUGCGUGUGAUUAGCUGGUUGGAGGGGUAACGGCCCACCAAGGCGAAGAUCAGUAGCCGGGCUGAGAGGAUGAACGGCCACAUUGGGACUGAGAAACGGGCCAGACUCCUACGGGGGGCAACAGUGGGGAAUCGUCCGCAAGGGAAGAAAAGCUUACGGGGCAAAGCCGCGGGAAUGAUGACGGCCGUCGGGUUGUAAAGAUCUGUUACUCGGGACGCGGUACCGGAAUAGAAAGCCACGGCUAACUACGUGCCAGCAGCCGCGGUAAUUC